UACGUAGGGGGCAAGCGUUGUCCGGAAUCAUUGGGCGUAAAGAGCGUGUAGGCGGCCAGAAAAGUCCGCUGUGAAAACUCGAGGCUCAACUUCGAGCUGUCGGUGGAAACUUUCUGGCUAGAGUCCGGAAGAGGAGAGUGGAAUUCCUGGUGUAGCGGUGAAAUGCGCAGAUAUCAGGAAGAACACCCGUGGCGAAGGCGGUUCUCUGGGACGGUACUGACGCUGAGACGCGAAAGCGUGGGGAGCGAACAGG
rnacentral:rRNA from 1 species